AAGUCGUAACAAGGUUUCCGUAGGUGAACCUGCGGAAGGAUCAUUACAAAUCUUACUGUCCAGUCAGCAAUGGCUGUGACGUUUACGCUUGCUUGUUUGACAAAUCUAACUGUGACUAUUAAAAAAGACAACUUUUAACAAUGGAUCUCUUGGCUCUU
rnacentral:misc_RNA from 1 species